rnacentral:rRNA from 1 species
UGCGCAGGCGGUUAUGUAAGACAGAUGUGAAAUCCCCGGGGCUCAACCCCGGAACUGCCUUUGAAACUAGAUGGCUUGAAUCUUGGAGAGGCGAGUGGAAUUCCGAGUGUAGAGGUGAAAUUCGUAGAUAUUCGGAAGAACACCAGUGGCGAAGGCGACUCGCUGGACAAGUAUUGACGCUGAGGUGCGAAAGCGUGGGGAGCAAACA